rnacentral:rRNA from 1 species
ACGACAGUGGCGAAAGGGUGAGUAACGCGUGGGCAACUUGCCUCUGAGUUGGGGAUAACCUCUCGAAAGGGGGGCUAAUACCGAAUGUGGAGUUCCGCGGCAUCGCGGGACGGCUAAAGGUGGGGACCUUUCGGGGCCUGCCGCUCGGAGAUGGGCCCGCGUCCGAUCAGCUAGUUGGUGGGGUAACGGCUCACCAAGGCUAUGACCGGUAGCUGGUCUGAGAGGAUGGUCAGCCACACUGGGACUGAGAUACUGCCCAGACUCCUACGGGAGGCUGCAGUCGAGGAUCAUUCGCAAUGGGCGCAAGCCUGACGAUGCGACGCUGCGUGGAGGAUGAAGGCCUUCGGGUUGUAAACUCCUGUCAUGAGGGAAAAAUGGCUUUGUCUCUAAUACAGACAAGGCGUGAUGGUACUUCAGGAGGAAGCCACGGCUAACUCUGUGCCAGCAGCCGCGGUAAUACAGAGGUGGCGAGCGUUGUUCGGAUUUACUGGGCGUAAAGGGUGCGUAGGUGGCUUCGUGUGUCGGUUGUGAAAUCCCACGGCUCAACCGUGGAAUGGCGUCCGAAACUGCGAAGCUUGAGUACAGCAGGGGAGAGCGGAACUCUUGGUGUAGCGGUGAAAUGCGUUGAUAUCAAGAAGAACACCGGUGGCGAAGGCGGCUCUCUGGGAUGUUACUGACACUGAGGCACGAAAGCUGGGGGAGCAAACAGGAUUAGAUACCCUGGUAGUCCCAGCCCUAAACGGUGCGCACUUGGUGUUGGCGGUGUUGACCCCGCCAGUGCCGGGGCUAACGCGUUAAGUGCGCCGCCUGGGGAGUACGGCCGCAAGGCUAAAACUCAAAGAAAUUGACGGGGGCCCGCACAAGCGGAGGAGCAUGUGGCUUAAUUCGAUGCAACGCGAAGAACCUUACCAGGGCUUGACAUGUAACUGCACGCCCCGUGAAAGCGGGGUUCCUUCGAGGGUGUUACACAGGUGCUGCAUGGCUGUCGUCAGUUCGUGCCGUGAGGUGUUGGGUUAAGUCCCGCAACGAACGCAACCCCUGUGGUUAGUUGCCACCGUAGGUGAUAAGCCUACGAGCACUUUAGCCAGACUGCCCGUACAAGCGGGAGGAAGGUGGGGAUGACGUCAAGUCAGUAUGGCCCUUACGCCCUGGGCUGCACACGUGCUACAAUGACCGGUAUAGAGGGAUGCGAAACCGCGAGGUGGAGCAAAUCCAUAAAACCGGCCUCAGUUCGGAUUGUAGUCUGCAACUCGACUACAUGAAGUUGGAUUCGCUAGUAACGGCGCAUCAGCUACGGCGCCGUGAAUACGUUCCCGGGCCUUGUACACACCGCCCGUCACAUCAUGAAAGCCGUCUGCACCCGUAGCCGCUGAUCCAAUCUGCAUUAGUAGAAGGAAGGCGUCUAAGGUGUGGGUGGUGAUUGGGAUGAAGUCGAAACAAGGUA